AAGUUUGGGGCUUAUAUUUGCCUUGUUCAAAUUUGCACUUUGAUAUUCCAAACU
rnacentral:tRNA from 1 species